rnacentral:lncRNA from 1 species
GCUGUGUGUGGCCCUACCUGAGGGACUGGAAAAGGCUGGGCAGGGCACCGUGGGGCUUGCUGAGUCCUAGUCAAGCCUUGAGGGCGCUCCCCGCCACCAAGCUGCUCCAGGGGUGCAUUUCCAGACGCUGGGAAGGAUGCCGUGAGGAGCUCGGAGCCCUCGGGAAAGGUCAGGUAGAGCCCCCGAUGCGGACAGGCUGGGGUCAAGCCUCCCUCCAGCCGCGGCCCGGGUCCAGGCCUGAAGAGUAAAACCAUGAAAAGCCGCCCGGAUGUGACAAGUCUCUCAGGAGCGUACAGCUGUCAGGUCCGCCUGCCGCCGUCCUGCAUCACGGAAAGCCAGUAUGGAUGGCCGGGGAGAGGCUUUGGGGCCGGGUGACUGGUCACACCCUCACACUUUCCUACAGCUCUCGUCACGGAAGGCUGCUCUGACCCGCAAUCGGUAAGCUCUCGGUCUCCACGCCGGGUGCUUGCGUCGGCUAUGAGUGUCAGCUUGUGCUCACCAAGAACGGUAGCCUUUGGAAAAUACUGAGAUAUGUGGAUCUUCCAAAUGUUGACGCUUUUGAGAGACUGAUUAUAGAAAUGGACAAUGGCCAGACCAUAUGUAGAAAUAAGAUUGACCUACAACUGCAACAGCCAGCCCAGGAAGCCCACCCACUGUCUACACUGACCAGCCCAGGAAGCCCACCCACAGUCUACAGUGACCAGCCCAGGAAGCCCAUCCACUGUCUACAGUGACCAGCCCAGGAAGCCCACCCACUGUCUACAGUGACCAGCCCAGGAAGCCCACCCACAGUCUACAGUGACCAGCCCAGGAAGCCCACCCACUGUCUACAGUGACCAGCCGAGGAAGCCCACCCACUGUCUACAGUGACCAGCCCAGGAAGCCCACCCACUGUCUACAGUGACCAGCCCAGGAAGCCCACCCACUGUCUACAGUGACCAGCCCAGGAAGCCCACCCACAGUAUACAGUGACCAGCCCAGGAAGCCCACCCACAGUAUACAGUGACCAGCCCAGGAAGCCCACCAACUGUCUACAGUGAUCAACCCAGGAAGCCCACCCACUGUCUACAGUGACCAGCCCAGGAAGCCCACCCAUAGUCUACAGUGAUCAGCCCAGGAAGCCCACCCCUGUCUACAGUGACCAGCCCAGGUAGCCCACCCACAGUCUACAGUGACCAGCCCAGGAAGCCCACCCACAGUAUACAGUGACCAGCCCAGGAAGCCCAUCCACUGUCUACAUGAUCAGGCCAGGAAGCCCACCCAUAAUCUACAGUGACCAGCCCAGGAAGCCCACCAACUGUCUACAGUGAUCAACCCAGGAAGCCCACCACUGUGUACAGUGACCAGCCCAGGAAGCCCACCCAUAGUCUACAGUGACCAGCCCAGGAAGCCCACCCACUGUCUACAGUGACCAGCCCAGGUAGCCCACCCAUAGUCUACAGCGACCAGCCCAGGAAGCUGUCUGCCGUAGUCAGAUUGCUGUCUCUGUGACAAUCCAGGAGAAUAAACAAUAAUCUCUGUGACGCUGGGUCCCCAGUGCCCAUGACUUGAUCAAUAACUGACUGCUGUCCUACAUUCUGUUCCCCCUUCCACCUUUGGACCCAUCAGAGAAAGCCAAGGUGCUCCCCUAACCAAUCACGUGGGACCCCUGUUUCUAGUAACCCUGCUCCAGCUUCCCCAGGCUCACCGCCUCCAUCAGGGAACUCCUGAACCUUCCUUUUUUCUCCCAUAAAGCUCUCCACUCCUCUGCCUGCCUCUGAGUCUCUGCCGGUGCUGGUGGCCACCCCCUUGUUACAGCAAACUCUGAACAAGUGGCCUUUCCCUGUCUCAUGGGGGUGGUCUCUAUUCAUCUCCACACUUUCAUUUCAAGCUAUCAAAAAAAUCACAUUUGUUAAUGUUGCUACCUGUCUCACCAAAAAGUCUUUAAAUAUUGUGAUACCGUCAAGCUCACAAUGGUGGAUAAAGUGUUCCAAAAUUCUGAUUUCUACCUGAAAUCUCUAAUCUUCUCAUCUGCAACAUAUGCUAUCAUUUCUUUGCCUUGGAGUGACAUGCAGACAGUACUCACGUCUGAAUACCAUCGUUUGUCAACCUGUUGUUCCAAGUGAAAACUGUGUUCCACUAGUUCAGCUGGUGACUCAAAGGACAGCCCAGUGCUUGUCUUGUGACAGUUGUCAAUCACUUCUGUGUGCAUCAGAAGCCCUUCAUGCUGUACUUAUGGUCAUGCAUCGCACAACGACGGGGACUUGCUCUGAGAAAUUCGUCGUUAAGGGUUUCGUCAUUGCUUGAACAUCAUAGAGUGUACGUGCACAAACCUAGAUGGUAUAACCCACACACCCAGGCUGUAGGGUGCUAAUCUUAUGGGACCACCAUCUUAUGUGCAUCCGUUGUUGACCAAAACGUCAAGUACACACGAUCGAACUUCCAUUUCAUCACACAGAACACUAAAAAGACGUGUACACCAGGCUGAGAUGGAAUAAAUUUAAUUUUUGCUGCUUCACUAAGGAAAACCAGAUGAAACUGGUUUUUAUUGUUCUUACAAGCGGUUGGUGCUGGAGAGACGGGUGCAGUUCUCUGCCGCCUUGUGCUGGGAAAAGGAGCCGGUAGUGUUACCC